UGAGCAAUCUGCCCUUCUCAUCGGAAUAACCAUUGGAAACGAUGGCUAAUGCCGAAUAUGACCUCGGAUCACAUAUUCUGAGGUGGAAAGCUCCGGCGGAGAAGGAUGAGCUCGCGGCCUAUCAGCUUGUUGGUGAGGUAAUGGCUCACCAAGGCAUUGACGGGUAGCCGGCCUGAGAGGGCGACCGGCCACACUGGGACUGAGACACGGCAGA
rnacentral:rRNA from 1 species